CUCUACCGUCGAUUGGUAAAGGGCAAAGUGGAGUACCUCCUAAAGUGGAAGGGAUUCUCAGAUGAGGACAACACAUGGGAGUCAGAAGAGAACUUGGAUUGCCCUGACCUCAUGAGUUUCUGCCGUCACAGAAAACAGCACAUGAGAUAGACAAAUCAGAGGGAGGCAAGCACAAAGCUGAUUCUGAUUCUGAAGAUAAGGGAGAGGAGAGCAAACCAAAGAAGAAGAAAGAAGAGUCAGAAAAGCCACGAGGCUUUGCUCAGGGUUUGGAGCCGGAGCAGAUUAUUGGAGCUACAGACUCCAGUGGAGAGCUCAUGUUCCUGAUGAAAGGGAAAAAUUCUGAUGAGGCUGACCUCGUCCCUGCCAAGGAAGUCAAUGUCAAAUGCCCACGGGUUGUCAUAUCCUUCUAUGAGGAAAGGCUGACGUGGCAUUCCUACCCCAAAGAGGAUGAUGACAAG
rnacentral:lncRNA from 1 species